GACGAACGCUGGCGGCGUGCCUAAUACAUGCAAGUCGAGCGAGACUCUUCGGAGUCUAGCGGCGGACGGGUGAGUAACACGUGGGCAACCUGCCUGUAAGACUGGGAUAACACCGGGAAACCGGUGCUAAUACCGGAUAAUCCUUUUUCUCUCAUGAGGAAAAGCUGGAAGUCGGUUUCGUCUGAAACUUACAGAUGGGCCCGCGUCGAAUUAGCUAGUUGGUGAGGUAACGGCUCACCAAGACGACGCUGCGUAGCCGACCUGAGAGGGUGAUCGGCCACACUGGGACUGAGACACGGCCCAGACUCCUACGGGAGGCAGCAGUAGGGAAUCUUCCACAAUGGACGAAAGUCUGAUGGAGCAACGCCGCGUGAGCGAUGAAGGCCUUCGGGUCGUAAAGCUCUGUUGUUAGGGAAGAACAAGUACCGGAGUAACUGCCGGUACCUUGACGGUACCUAACCAGAAAGCCACGGCUAACUACGUGCCAGCCGCCGCCGUGA
rnacentral:rRNA from 1 species